GACGAACGCUGGCGGCGUGCCUAAUCCAUGCAAGUAGAACGCAGUUGCUAACAGGUGAGUAACGCGUAGGUAACUGCCUAAUAGCGGGGGAUAAAUAUUGGAAACGAUAGCUAAAACCGAAUAUUAUGAGAUGCACCUGCGUUUGAUUAGCUAGUUGGUGAGGUAAACUCUCACCAAGGCGACGAUACAUAGCCGACCUGAGAGGGUGAUCGGCCACACUGUGACGUAGACACGUCCGAGACUCCUACGGGAGGCAGCAGUAGGGGAUCUGCGGCAAUGGACGGAAGUCUGAGCGAGCAACGCCGCGUGAGUGAAGAAGGUUUUCGGAUCGUAAAGCUCUGUUGUUAGAGAAGCGGUAACUAACCAGAAAGGGACGGGUAACUACGUGCCAGCCGCCGCGGUAAGUC
rnacentral:rRNA from 1 species